UACGUAGGGGGCAAGCGUUGUCCGGAUUUAUUGGGCGUAAAGAGCUCGUAGGCGGCUUGUCACGUCGGAUGUGAAAGCCCGAGGCUUAACCUCGGGUCUGCAUUCGAUACGGGCUAGCUAGAGUGUGGUAGGGGAGAUCGGAAUUCCUGGUGUAGCGGUGAAAUGCGCAGAUAUCAGGAGGAACACCGGUGGCGAAGGCGGAUCUCUGGGCCGAUACUGACGCUGAGGAGCGAAAGCGUGGGGAGCGAACAGG
rnacentral:rRNA from 1 species